UGCUCUUGACUUGGGUAAGUGAUUUCAUGUUGGUGGCCCCUGCCUUACUUCAGCCAGGGGCAAAACAGGCUCUCCGUGUCCUGCUUGGCUUCUGGUUCGUGCCCAUGCCUGGGUCAUGUUUUCUACACAGGA
rnacentral:snoRNA from 1 species